rnacentral:rRNA from 1 species
GACGAACGCUGGCGGCGUGCUUAACACAUGCAAGUCGAACGGAGAACUUAGCAAUAAGUUCUUAGUGGCGAACGGGUGAGUAACACGUGGACAACCUACCUUCAAGAUGGGGACAACAUUCCGAAAGGGAUGCUAAUACCGAAUAAAGCUGCUGAUUCGCAUGAGUCGGUAGUGAAAGGCGGCCUCUAUUUAUAAGCUGUCACUUGAAGAAGGGUCCGCGCCUGAUUAGCUAGUUGGAGGGGUAAUGGCCCACCAAGGCAACGAUCAGUAGCCGGUCUGAGAGGACGAACGGCCACACUGGGACUGAGACACGGCCCAGACUCCUACGGGAGGCAGCAGUGGGGAAUCUUCCGCAAUGGACGAAAGUCUGACGGAGCGACGCCGCGUGGGUGAAGAAGGCCUUAGGGUCGUAAAGCCCUGUCAUUAGGGACGAAUGGCAGCAGGACUAAUAAGCCUGUCGUUUGACGGUACCUAAGGAGGAAGCCCCGGCUAACUACGUGCCAGCCGCCGCAGUAA